UAGAUGUAUUUCUAGCGUAGGUGCAGCUGGUGCACCAGUCUAGCGUGGCAAAUGCAUCCCUGGCUACAGUUUCUUACAACCAAUCAUCCAGGUCUCCCCCUUUUUUGUCGUAACCGAUCGCGGCCUUUCCCUAGCCAGAACGCCACCUCUUAAUAGAGGCGGGCUCAAAACUUCAAACAACUUUUCCUGUUAAUAAAAGAAUUUUAUUAACCAGGCUGUAAAAACAGGCUGCCUGGCACAGCUUGUAACAGAAGCCUGUAUGUAGCAAGGUUUCAGUAGACCAACAGAUUCUUGACAGUGUGCUCCGUUGUAAUGCUCUUCUUGCAAUUUCUGUUGUUGCUGCUGAAAAGAUGGCUGCUCCUUUAGACUGUUCUCGGCUGAUUCAGGAGCACCGGGAACGGCUCCUGCGUUGGAUUGAACCCAGCCCAGCUCCGUUGCUCCGUCGACUCUGGGAUGGUGGGGUCCUCACCCAGCCGGAGUACUUCUCCUUGCUGGAAACCAGUCCCAAGACAAACCAAGUCAUUGCGCUUCUGGACAGAGUCAGUGGGAAGCUGGAGGACAGCCAGAAAUUCCUGGAAGAGCUGAAAGAACUCAACGAGGUGUAUUGCCCUGAGCUACAGCAAUGGCUGCAGGAACACUGCCCUGAAGAAGAAAAACGAGAUGUGCCUCUGAUCCAGACAGAGCCUUUUCCCAGACCUUCCAAAAGAUCUUUCCUGAAAUUUUGGAAAUCAAAGAAAUACAAGUUUCCAACAACAUCUGCAGGCAAGUCAGUCUCCCCCAUGACCUCAUAAGGAUGUUUCUAUUUCUUUUUCUGUUUAUUAUACAGUGGUGCCUCGCAUAACGAUGUUAAUUGGUUCCAUUAAAAAUAUCGUUAUGUGCAAACAUCGUUAAGCGAAACACCAUUUCCCAUAGGAAUGCAUUGAAAACCGGUUAAUCCGUUCCAAUAGGAGCCUAUUCAAUACAUUUCAAUGGUGAAAACAAAAUCACCAAAAAUUCAAAAAGACUCAGAACGAAGCCAAAUUACUUUAACGAAGGUUUUAUUAGGUGCACUAAUGAUUCCAAGCAUUUUAAACAUUUUCUAAACAUUUUAGAAUAUUUUUAAAAUAGCAAAAACAGGGCUGUCAAAAAAAACGUUAAGCGAAACAGGGGACCUAAAACUGUCAUCGUUAAGUGAAGCAAGGUCCCAAACAUCGUUAUGCGAAAAUCCCCCAUAGGAAACAUCGUUAGGUGAGGCGGCAAAAUUUCCAGCAAAGGCCAUCAUUAUGUGAAUUCAUCGUUGAGCGAGGCACUCGUUAAGCGAGGCACCACUGUAUUUGUAUUCUGCUUAGUGGUGUAGUGGCGCCACAGCUUGCAAGGCUGAAACCCCGGGAUUUCCUGUGAUAUUAUCUGUAGCCCCAAUUCGGUUUGAGCUUAGUUGCAGUUCUCACAGUAUGCUGUGAACGCAAUGCAUUUUCCUAGAAACAACAUACCGUUGCAAGUUGUCUCUUUUAUCUCCGGGGAUGGUUUGGUCCUGAAGGGGUAGUUAGGAGCCAUGAGCUUUACAGAAGACCUGCUCCUUAAGGGUUAGUUUGGUCGAUUCACUUGUCCAAAUAUUUGGACUUUCCUAAUAGAGCAUGGUGACCUUAGCAGCUGUCAUGAUGAUCUAUGGAAUUUCGAAUUUAGCAUGAAAGCAGUGCUUUCUGUUUUUCAGCCAAGAUGUGUUUCUAAGCCUCUUACAAUUGGAUUCAUGUACAGUGAUAUGACAAGGUGGAUCGGACCUGAUUCCUUGUAGACAGAGUGUUAAGUAACAGC
rnacentral:lncRNA from 1 species